UUUGAGAGAAGGUAAUGCAUUGCAUUAAAUUGCUAAACGCAAUUGAGAUACAAGGUAUGAGUACGGGAAAGUCAGAAAGACAAUCCACAACCUAAUAUGAAAGUCAGGAAACAAAAGCGUCAUCGCUACUAACUAGUUGCGCUGCCUGUAACUUUCAUAAGAAAAUACUUAUACCAAGAAAAUGAAGAAGUGGAAAAAUGUCUUCACUUCUUCUCAUCAACCUAAUCUAAAAGUUCUUUGGUUGAAGAACAGGAACAGUGGUGGCCUCGUUAAAACCUUGUUCGGAUAAAACCCAGUGGGAAAAACUCCGAACCGAGGAAAGAGUACCACACACGCACAAAACACACAACACAAAACGUGCACUGUCUGGGAAUACCCAGACCUGUCUCCCAAAAAAAGGGAGAGAACGGGGGGAGGGGGGGAGAACAAGUUGGUUGUGUCCAACGGACACAUCUUCUAAAAACUUCAACGAUGAAACUUGCUCUUAGCACUUGGAAGAAUUUCUCUUCCAAGAUCUUUUUGAAGAAAACUGCGAGGAACCGGCCUGAUCCUCAGCCACCCGUUUUCCUCGAGACACCCGCUUUCCUACCGAAGUUGUCUGACCAAUCGGAACAUCUACCAGAUUUUGUGCCUCAAAAUGAGUAGAAGUAAGGUCGUCCAACAUCUGAACUGGACGGAGAUGCCCCUGAGAAACUGGGGAUGAAGUAACUGCCCACUGGCUGCUUGGGAAUCGUCCAACUGUCACCGCCGGUGCAAGAGAGCCACCGGCAACAUCAAUUGAGGUCGACCUGGCAUGAAGCAGCACACUACCUACCGGGGUAGAUCUUGGAUGUCUUGGCACCUGUGGAGCACGAUCCACUUCUCUUAGUUUCUUAGUGAAUAAAAAGUCUUCAGCAUUCCCAGGGUGGAAUUUACUCAGAGGGCAAUCUUCAGUCCAGUGAGUAAUCAAUCCACAGAAGGCACAAAAUUGUGGUAAUCGUUCAUACGAGAACUCCACCUCUCUGUCACCAAAACUAUCAAAGCACAGAACUGUUUUCCGACAAAGAGGCCUGCAAGCGUUGAGACGAAUGGGACACAGAGAGUACCAUCAACACAACCAAAAUUCUCAUCUUUCCCAACAUCCAGAAAGCCACCCAGAGUAUCACCAACCAAUCUAGCUGUUGUGUCAGUCAUCCACAACCAAGGAACACUGUGGACAUUAACCCAGAAGGAGACAUGAGUCAUCUCCAUAUUGUUAAGGGAAGACGAAGGGUCCACCUUUUUCAUGAGCAACAAAUUCCCAACAAAAGACCAAGGUUCUUUGGAGAGGACAUAUUCUAAACCUGAUUCGAGAGCAAACCAGAAGAGGAACAUAUUUGCGGACACUGCUUUAACCGCCAAACCCUUUGCAAAACGCCAAACGCCAAAAGUGAAACACACGAUGAUGUUUCGGGGAACAUGGAAUGGCCGGCCCACUUGCUUUUAAGGACAACUCACAUGUAGGUGCAUUUGUAACCAAGACAUGCUCACGGAUACCAAGUGCGAGGUGAGGUGAUGGCCGACAAGUAUGCAAUCAAGGAAGCAUUAAGGUGAUGGCCGACAAGCAUCGACGAGCCAUCUGUAACUGUUGUGAAGAGCCAACCUCCUCCGGUGGCCUAACCACCUCAUCUUGCAUAACCACCGUCUUGUUCAUCACCUGCCCACCGACCAAAACAGAAACCAGCAUGAUCCACACUAGAAAAAACUCCUGAAAGUCGAUCAAAAUCCACCUGAUGCUUGUACUUUCGACCAGAUUGAGGCUGUGUCGAAUCGGCAACCCUCAGAGAACAAAACUGAACUUGAACAAAACUUCAUAACAAAGCACUUGUCUAGGAUACUCUAGACAUUGUCUCCCAUUAGGAAAAUGAGAGAGAACUUGGGGGAGAACAUGGGGGAUGAAGCUUGCACCGUAGAAACUGAUAGGCAGCGAACAACUGCUGCUGUCAACGACAAGCUUCUAAAGAAAAUGACUUCACUUUCAAUUCGGUAAGGCGAUAUAAUGACGUCCACAAUAUCCUGUAAGGUGAGAAAGGAUUAUGAGAAACAGUAAUGGCAUAUAAAAGAAAUUAAAGAAAAGAAGGAGCAAAAGAAUUAAUUAGUAGCCUCCAUCCGGAGUUGAUGGGUAGAGGCCAUGAAAUUUGCAGAUGCCGUCGUCCAAACUUGCAGAGCUUCAAUGGGUCGGUACAGGCCUGAAUGAACUUCACUUCAUUGAAACUCUACGAGAUGUCAAGGAGCUCCUAUAAUCUUUUUCUGACUUGGACAAAUUCUUCGUACAAAAGAAGCAGCAGGGAAAGCGCGUCUCUUGGAGCAAGUUGUUGGUCAAAUAAAACACAACAAACAAUCCACUGAAUGCAUUUAAAGCGCAGCAUGCAUAUGAUGGUGUCAAAGGGCAUGACUAUUUAGCUAUAAAUAUCCUUUAGUCUGCAGGCACCGAAAUCGUUUUGCAGGAACCACAAGACCCAUUCUCACUCGUUUCAGAUGAUCUUGGAGGAAGGGAGAAAGUACCGCAUCGUGGUAUUGGCAAGAACCUUUGGCCUGUGCCUAUGGCCCCCAAGUUUCACGGCCCCCGAAAUCAAAUUAAGUUUUAUAUAUAUGUAAAAAAAAAAAAAAAACUGGAGAUAUAUUAUUAUAUCAUAUCAAUAUACUGUCAUUCUUUACUUCUUCUCUGACUCCUAAAGUCGCCGUCUUUUUCUUUGCCGACAGUCAUCAUCUUCUCAUUCAUCUGCAAUCAUCAUCAUCUUCCCCAUCUCCACUUCUCUAGAUUCCAAAAUCCCAAAUUCUCCCAUCUCAAAUCUAACAGAUUUGGGAAUUGGCAAGAGCCAAGAAGGAUUUUUGAGUCUAACACAACAAUUUCGUUGGGUUAUAAUAUCAUGGCUAAAAUUAGAAAAUAUCCUUUGGGUGCACAAAAUAGAAAAGAAAAGCAAAAGAGAGAUGCAUUAGUUAAGCUUCAAGCCGGAUCUCUUAGUAAGUACUUCAACACAAAUAAUAAACAAGCAUAGACUUCAGUUGAUGCAAGUAUACUUGAGAAUGAGAAUGAGAAGGAUGUUGAAGAACAUGAUCAGUUAAUGACUGAAAAUGAGAGUGCAGAACUGAGUCAAGGUCUUAAUGCCAAUGAAAAUGAUUAUCUUAGUCAGCCUAUAAAUGAAAGUGGUGGUACAGACGAACCAAAUCUUCCAGUGAAUGAGGAAGAAAAUAUCAUUGCGGAAGAUGAUCAAAACAAAGAUUCAAGUGCAGAAUUUGAAUUAAUAUAAUAUUUUGGUAAAUGAUAUUGGGAUUGCUAUAUUGCUAUGUUACAAUGGGGAGCCCCAUUUUUGCUUUUGGCCUAGAGCCCCUAAAAACUCAGGGCCGGCCCUGUGCCAUAUUAAGUUGAAAUUAUGACUUCAGUCAUAACUUUUGAUUUUCUUUUUGGGAAAUUUUUAAGAACAGUACAUGAGGUAUAGGCUACUGAGAAUUAAGAUGAAUAUACUUUUCAAAACAUCACAAUGGUGCAUGAGGUUAAAAAUAGGGUCCUUGACCAAAUGCCCAAAUUUGGGUCAAUAUGAACCUACUUACCCCACUAACAAAUUUGUGUGCCCACUCACUCCAUUUAAUGGCAAAAUAUCACUUUUAGUCUCAACUCAAUUAUUAAAUUACUUUCAGUCAUAUUCAAUCUCUCUCUUCUCCCGACCUUUAUCCGCGACGAGUUUCUCUCUCUCCUCCCAGCCUUCAUCGGCGACGAGCAUGGCGGCAAGGACAGCUCCGAUGUCGGUUCCUGCGACGAGGUCGAAGAAAUCGUCUCUCUCUCUCUCUCUCUCUCUCUCUCUCUCUCUCCUCCCAGCCUUCAUCUGCGAACGCCGACCGGUUCUCCGUCGUUGGUCGGGUUUGACGGCCUGAAGAUCCAGCGUGCCGAUAAGAGCUUCUCUUCCUCGAUGAUCGUGACGCCGACCGAUCUUAAUUCUUUUUCUUUCUUUCUCAUUUUCGUUUUCGUAGAGGUCUGUCUUGGGGAUAUCACAUGAGGUGGGCUUUCUGUAUUUUCAGUGGAGGGAAUCAUUCCUUUUUGUUGAAAUCUGCACCUGGGUGGUGAAGAUUUCAGCCUUCAAUUUCUGGCUUCUGUUCAGAGUUCAGAAUUGGAAAAAGGGAAACUUGAAUUGGGCAGCCUACUAUAUUCCAUUGAGGAGGAGGGGCUCGGUGCUUCCGAGUUGCUACGUCACGCUUUCACUCGUUCUGGGAGUUGGAGGUGCUGUUGGUUCAAGCUGACAAGCACAGUUGCUCGUCCCUUUUUUAUUCAUGGGACUGUUGUUGUCUCAAGCUCACAAAACGUGGUUGCUGCUCUCUUUUAUUUAUGGGGUCCUACUGAUCAAUGUUUUGAUGACUCUAAUUAUGGCGUAUUGGCAUGGUGAGCUUGGAAGCUACUGGUUUGGUUUAAUUAUACGAAGGACAUUGUAGGCUUGGUAGCUACUGGUGGGUUUUAAUUAUACUAUAACACCCAUAUCAGUUUUCUUUUUUUUUCUUUUUUUUUGGGGGUGUCAGCGUUAGUGAGUUAGCGAUACACACACCCCAUGCAGGGUAUCUCAGCCAAAGCCAGACUGAUCCACUGCACGCCUAUGGGGAAAAUUCCACCACAAGCUGGCCACAAGGUGUAGGAGAGGGGGUUCGAACUCGGGUGUGGGGGUUCCACACCUGGAGGCUCGACCACCCCGCCAUAACUUUGGUGGUUCCCAUAUCAGUUUUCUAGGUGCUUUUAUCAAUUUUUUUUUUCUCUUUCCUUCUUAAUAAAAGAAAAAAUAUCAAUUUUUUUUUUCAGCAACCAUCCUCUAAAUUUGUUCGAUCCUGGAUAUACAAGAAAAAAAAAGAAAAUGCUCAUUUUGUACUAA